AGAGUUUGAUCAUGGCUCAGGAUGAACGCUGGCGGUAUGCCUAACACAUGCAAGUCGAACGAUGUCUUCGGACAUAGUGGCGGACGGGUGAGUAACGCGUGAGAAUCUGCCUCUAGGAUGGGGAUAACGGUUGGAAACGACCGCUAACACCCAAUAUGCCGUAAGGUGAAAAAUUUAUUGCCUGGAGAGGAGCUCGCGUCUGAUUAGCUAGUUGGUGGGGUAAGAGCUCACCAAGGCUUCGAUCAGUAGCUGGUCUGAGAGGAUGAGCAGCCACACUGGGACUGAGACACGGCCCAGACUCCUACGGGAGGCAGCAGUGGGGAAUUUUCCGCAAUGGGCGAAAGCCUGACGGAGCAACACCGCGUGAGGGAGGAAUGCCUUUGGGUUGUAAACCUCUUUUCUCAGGGAAGAAGAUCUGACGGUACCUGAGGAAUAAGUAUCGGCUAACUCCGUGCCAGCAGCCGCGGUAAUACGGAGGAUGCAAGCGUUAUCCGGAAUCAUUGGGCGUAAAGCGUCCGCAGGUGGUUUCCAAAGUCUGCUGUUAAAGACUGGAGCUCAACUCCGGAACGGCGGUGGAAACUUGGAAACUAGAGUUCGGUAGGGGUAGCAGGAAUUCCCAGUGUAGCGGUGAAAUGCGUAGAUAUUGGGAAGAACAUCGGUGGCGAAGGCGUGCUACUGGACCGUAACUGACACUCAGGGACGAAAGCUAGGGGAGCGAAAGGGAUUAGAUACCCCUGUAGUCCUAGCUGUAAACGAUGGAAACUAGGUGUGGCUUGUAUCGACCC
rnacentral:rRNA from 1 species